UCCAAAAUUUCUUGGCACUACAGACGUAUC
rnacentral:piRNA from 1 species